AGCUAGUGUGGUGUAGUGGUUUGAGUAUUGGACUAUAACUCUGGAGACCAGGGUUCGAAUCCUGGCUUGGCCA
rnacentral:tRNA from 1 species